rnacentral:ncRNA from 1 species
AUAUUGACUUUGAUGAGAAGAGUAGACAUAAGUAAUGUAAGAAGCGAAUCGAUGAUGGUGGAAGGUCGAUACAAAGCUUAUGCUGAAGAACAUCUCUGAGUUUCUGGCUGAAAUCCUUUAAAGAGAGUAGGAAUGACGGAACUGCACCGUUAUAGGCAGGCAAUAUAGAAUAUAUUGCAAAGAGUGGCUGUUUUUUAAGACAGCAAUUAGGGUGGCAACACGAACCUUUCGUCCCUUCA